AGGGAUGUGGCGCCGCUUGGUAGCGUCUUUGUUUUGGAUAGAAAAUGUCACGGGUUCCAAUCUUGUCAUCCCUA
rfam:Corchorus olitorius cultivar O-4 contig02944, whole genome shotgun sequence.